rnacentral:misc_RNA from 1 species
UUUCCGUAGGUGAACCUGCGGAAGGAUCAUUAUCAUUCAAAGUGUGAUGGCCCUGCUAGGGUUGUCACUCACCCUGUAGGCGUUCACACCCGAGUGUGUCCUCGGAGGUAGUCAUCCCUCUCACCUUUUUUUCAUCACCGCUUGUCCGCCCUUCGUGAUCAUCUCGGAGGUUAACUCACCAUUUUGCACAAACCCCCCUUUUAAAAUUGUAGAAUGACCACAUUUAGGCAAUCAAUACAACUUUCAUCAGCAGAUCUCUUGGCUCACGCAUCGAGGAAA